rnacentral:rRNA from 1 species
UACAGAGGGUGCAAGCGUUAAUCGGAAUUACUGGGCGUAAAGCGUGCGUAGACGGUUACAUAAGUCGGGUGUGAAAGCCCCGGGCUCAACCUGGGAAUUGCAUUCGAGACUGCGUAGCUAGGGUGCGGAAGAGGGAAGCGGAAUUUCCGGUGUAGCGGUGAAAUGCGUAGAUAUCGGGAGGAACACCAGUGGCGAAGGCGACUUCCUGGCCUGUUCUUGACGCUGAGGUGCGAAAGCUAAGGGUAGCAAACGGGG